rnacentral:tRNA from 1 species
AUGACUAUGGCUCAGUGGUAGAGCAUCUCCUUGGGAUUCAGAAGGUCCCAGGUUCAAUCCCUGGCUCCUCAAGUUAAA